rnacentral:rRNA from 1 species
AUUGAACGCUGGCGGCAUGCUUUACACAUGCAAGUCGAACGGCAGCGGGUCCUUCGGGAUGCCGGCGAGUGGCGAACGGGUGAGUAAUGCAUCGGAACGUACCCAGACGUGGGGGAUAACUACGCGAAAGCGUAGCUAAUACCGCAUACGCCCUGAGGGGGAAAGCGGGGGAUCUUCGGACCUCGCGCGAUUGGAGCGGCCGAUGUCGGAUUAGCUAGUUGGUGGGGUAAAGGCCUACCAAGGCGAUGAUCCGUAGCUGGUCUGAGAGGAUGAUCAGCCACACUGGGACUGAGACACGGCCCAGACUCCUACGGGAGGCAGCAGUGGGGAAUUUUGGACAAUGGGCGCAAGCCUGAUCCAGCCAUGCCGCGUGAGUGAAGAAGGCCUCGGUUGUAAGUA